GCCUGCAGAAUCGCACCACAAGAAACCAUCAGCACAAUGUCCCGACUCUCAAUUGUAAUCUUUGUGAUGGCUGUCCUCGUCACCUUAACACAGGCCAACUGGUAUGGAAAGCGAGAGGAUAACAAAUUCCAAGAUUAUCUCCAGGCGAUCAGAUCCUCAACCCAAGAUUCCACAUACGAUGCACAGCGAGUACUAAAAUCCAUUGCUUAUAUCGUCCAUGCAUGGGAGUCGAAGGAACGUGCUGUAGAGGAUGCCACUAGGUCAUCAAGCUAAGCGGCCAACAUGGCUGGUCUGCUUCCUCGAAGAGAGACCUCUGGUGGUGAGUGCGUGCAGCGAACAUUCAAGUGAAGUGUUACGAAAUCGGCCAUCACACUAUUUCAACAAAAGAUCAAUGAAAUCUUUCCUACACCUUCGAAUCCAGUCAUGUGUGCACACGGUACAUCUUCAGCAAAUAAAGACAACACACCAAGCCCUGUUGAAGACUUCAAAAGACACUCUCAGUUUCCUUGGUCGCAAGUGUAAACUGCUACGAUCUCUUGGUACCUUUUCCAUGUCAAUAAGAUCUAAGCGCAGCUCGGACCUUUUUCUAUCAUCUGACCUUAGUUCGACAGAGCUCACUGCUCCAAACCAGUUUGAACUGGAAGUGAUCUUCAGACCUAUUGUCUGUUCAUCCCUUGUUCAAUUGGAUACUCAUUCCUGAUCGCCAAUGUGGCGGUAAUUUGGCCAAUUUGUUUCUCUUUGUAGGGAGCUGAGGUCGAACUGACAUCAAAUAAUCAAUUGCUGUGCAAUUUCGUCCGGCAAAGUUGAGCAGUCAGAGCAACUUUACAGACUAUCGCUCCACAGCUCAUAAAACAAAGCACCUUUUACAAAGACACGAAAAGGUGCGGUACAAUCAGCCAAUCAGGCAAUCUGGGAAACUCCCCCAAAAUUAGCAUCGGUCAAUUGGCAAAACGACCGUCAUUCGUAAUCUGGUCUAAUUGCAUCAUGCCAUUGUCUACAGAGCGGAAAAAUGCUCCGGUGGAAAUGGUUGAUCCAAGAAUUACAGUUAAUCGCUCACUAUUACCGCGUAGUAUGGGUGCAUGAAGUUGCCCUUUUUGUUGAAAUAGCGAUAAUAAGAUCUUAGCAACGCAGUCCAGGAAUAUAGAAAAUGUACCCAGAGAUCGUGUAGACUCACUUUAAUUAGACCUGCUCUGAAACUUAGAAAAGCAUCUGGAAUAAAACACUGAACCAAUGUAUGUGAUCUUCCCUUGUUAUCGAUGAAUACAGCUAGACAAUACUCUUCCUACAAUAAUAGUAACCUUCUUUCAAAUUCAUCUUUUUGUCAUCGUCUUUCUGUGCAAACUCCUCUGGUCACUGCAUCAGAAGAGGCCAUUCAGGAAAGUGGGGGAGUUUCACCCCCAUUUAACUGUAAAUAGACUCUUCUUGUUAGGACAUUAGAGGAGUUCCCAUUUCAAUGUAUAGACUCUUCCAGUUAAUGCAUUAGAAGAGUCCAUUCAGGGAAUUGAGGGUAUAAAGGUUACUGUAGAAAUCUCAGGACAUUUAGGAAACCUAUCAUCACAGAAACCAAAAUAUUUAGGAAGCUUUAGUCAACCAUGUUUAUGGUAGGUAAAUUCAAUAGUAAUACAAUUACGAUGUACAUUCUCUCGAUCAUAUCCAUUCUCGAUGACACCAUCUUUUGUCAAUCCAAGAACAAGCUUGCCUGUUAUGUGAUGUCCGAUUGGCUAAUAAAUUCACCUGGAUUCACUCAUGGUUUAAAUUAUUAACAA